rnacentral:rRNA from 1 species
AUACCAGCUGGCUGCAACUGUUUAUUAAAAACACAGCACUGUGCAAACACGAAAGUGGACGUAUACGGUGUGACGCCUGCCCGGUGCCGGAAGGUUAAUUGAUGGGGUUAUCCGUAAGGAGAAGCUCUUGAUCGAAGCCCCGGUAAACGGCGGCCGUAACUAUAACGGUCCUAAGGUAGCGAAAUUCCUUGUCGGGUAAGUUCCGACCUGCACGAAUGGCGUAAUGAUGGCCAGGCUGUCUCCACCCGAGACUCAGUGAAAUUGAACUCGCUGUGAAGAUGCAGUGUACCCGCGGCAAGACGGAAAGACCCCGUGAACCUUUACUAUAGCUUGACACUGAACACUGGUCCUUGAUGUGUAGGAUAGGUGGGAGGCUUUGAAGUGUGGACGCCAGUCUGCAUGGAGCCAUCCUUGAAAUACCACCCUUUAAUGGCUGGUGUUCUAACGUGGACCCGUUACCCGGGUUGCGGACAGUGUCUGGUGGGUAGUUUGACUGGGGCGGUCUCCUCCUAAAGAGUAACGGAGGAGCACGAAGGUUAGCUAAUCCUGGUCGGACAUCAGGAGGUUAGUGCAAAGGCAUAAGCUAGCUUGACUGCGAGAGUGACGGCUCGAGCAGGUGCGAAAGCAGGUCUUAGUGAUCCGGUGGUUCUGAAUGGAAGGGCCAUCGCUCAACGGAUAAAAGGUACUCCGGGGAUAACAGGCUGAUACCGCCCAAGAGUUCAUAUCGACGGCGGUGUUUGGCACCUCGAUGUCGGCUCAUCACAUCCUGGGGCUGAAGUAGGUCCCAAGGGUAUGGCUGUUCGCCAUUUAAAGUGGUACGCGAGCUGGGUUUAGAACGUCGUGAGACAGUUCGGUCCCUAUCUGCCGUGGGCGCUGGAGAAUUGAGGGGGGCUGCUCCUAGUACGAGAGGACCGGAGUGGACGCAUCACUGGUGUUCGGGUUGUCAUGCCAAUGGCAUUGCCCGGUAGCUAAAUGCGGAAGAGAUAAGUGCUGAAAGCAUCUAAGCACGAAACUUGCCCCGAGAUGAGUUCUCCCUGAGACUAUAAGUCUCCUGAAGGAACGUUAAAGACGAUGACG